UUUCCGUAGGUGAACCUGCGGAGGGAUCAUUACCGAGUGAGGGCCUCCGGGCUCGACCUCCAACCCUUUGUGAACACAACUUGUUGCUUCGGGGGCGACCCUGCCGUUUCGACGGCGAGCGCCCCCGAAGGUCUCCAAACACUGCAUCUUUGCGUCGGAGUUUAACACAAAUGAAACAAAACUUUCAACAACGGAUCUCUUGGUUCCAGCAUCGAUGAAGAACGCAGC
rnacentral:misc_RNA from 1 species